rnacentral:rRNA from 1 species
CGAUGAUCUCCAGCUUGCUGGGGGGAUUAGUGGCGAACGGGUGAGUAACACGUGAGUAACCUGCCCUUAACUCUGGGAUAAGCCUGGGAAACUGGGUCUAAUACCGGAUAUGACCUUCCAUCGCAUGGUGGGGGGUGGAAAGCUUUUUGUGGUUUUGGAUGGACUCGCGGCCUAUCAGCUUGUUGGUGAGGUAAUGGCUUACCAAGGCGACGACGGGUAGCCGGCCUGAGAGGGUGACCGGCCACACUGGGACUGAGACACGGCCCAGACUCCUACGGGAGGCAGCAGUGGGGAAUAUUGCACAAUGGGCGGAAGCCUGAUGCAGCGACGCCGCGUGAGGGAUGACGGCCUUCGGGUUGUAAACCUCUUUCAGUAGGGAAGAAGCGUAAGUGACGGUACCUGCAGAAGAAGCGCCGGCUAACUACGUGCCAGCAGCCGCGGUAAUACGUAGGGCGCAAGCGUUAUCCGGAAUUAUUGGGCGUAAAGAGCUCGUAGGCGGUUUGUCGCGUCUGCCGUGAAAGUCCGGGGCUCAACUCCGGAUCUGCGGUGGGUACGGGCAGACUAGAGUGAUGUAGGGGAGACUGGAAUUCCUGGUGUAGCGGUGAAAU